AAGAGGUAAUGAAUAGUUUACCCAUAUUUAGUUGCCUUAUUGCUAAUCAAAAGUUCCAAAUAUAAAAUUAAGGAAAAGCCAUCUUCUUUGCUUGAUUACUAAUUUAAGAUAUCAACAUACAGGAUCUUGGAGAUUCUGUAUGGAAAUCUGUCCAAUCAUGUAUCUCCAUGAUUCUGAUUGGCUUCCCCAUUUCUGAGUCACACAUGCUUUGUUGGGUUUCCAUCACACUCAUCAUCAUCAUCUUUCCUUCUAGUUUUGUUCAUCUUAUUCUUGUUUUGGCUAUUCUGCUUGGUUUUGGAUCUAUAUUCUGUGCAGCCAAAAAAAAUGGUUGUGGCUGUAGAAUCUUAGUUUCAUGUAUUGGCUGUUGAUGAUAGCCUCAUUGACAGAAAGUUGAUUGAGAAUCUCCUCAAGACAUCUUCAUAUCAUGACUCUGUAAGAAAGGGAUUAGAGUUUCUGGGAUUGAUUGAAGAUCAACAGAGAGAUGCAGAGGUUCCCACUGUUUCACCAAACAAUCUCAAUCAGGAUUUAGAAGUAAAUCUGAUAAUUACAGAUUAUUCAAUGCCUAGGAUGACAGGCUAUGAUCUGCUCAGAAAGAUCAAGGAAUCCAAAUCUCUCAAAGACAUUCCAGUUGUCAUGAUGUCAUCAGAGAAUAUCCCUUCAAGAAUCAAAAGGUGAGAGAGAGAAACAUAAAACCUUGUCUAAUUCCUCAAGUUUUUCUUGUGUGGCAUUUUAAUUUUAUUUUAUUUUUUGUUCCUUAAUCUAUUUUUCUGUUCUGACAUGGCUGAAAUGCUGAUGGGUAUUAUUGAUCAGAUGCUUGGCAGAAGGUGCAGAAGAGUUCUUUUUGAAACCAGUUCAGAUGGCAGAUGUGGGCAAGCUUAGACCCCAUAUGUUGAAGGUGUAAAGCUAAGGAAACAAUCCCUUCCACAACAAACAGGAGUUGGAAAUCUAUGUUCUUCUUUGAUUAAUGAAGAAAAAGGACAAGAAGGGGUUGGCCAAUUUUGCACAAAUUGAAUGUAAGCCCAAAAAUCAAAAUGUUCAUUUGGAGGGCAGCUCAUAAUUCUCUACCUUGCAAAAUAAUUUGGGGCAUAUAUAUGAAGGAUUCUUAGUGAUCCUCUAAGGUAAGGUUGAAGAAACAAUGGAGCAUAUACUGCUUUAAUGCCUGUAGGCUCAAAAAGCAUAUGCUUUUGUCAGCCUUUGCAAGUUUUUAGAUUGAAGCAUAUAUAGCAGGCAAAUUGAAUUUUACUUUUGAAGGUGGGGGUUGUUGCAGUCUUAUAAGCUUUCCUCAAGGAUUUUAGAAUGCAAAGCUCUGUUUUAUAGAGAGAUUCCAUGGAAGUAGUUGUCAAAGCUCUGUUUUAUAGUUACUGUCACAUAUCCAGCAGGAGAUUUGAAAAGUCCUAUACAAAAAAUAUUUUUGUAGCCUCAACCGGACAAGUUUGUUAUCUCUAGGCAGCUUAUUUCUUAAUUGUUAGGAGUUACUCAAAUCAUAAUCUUGAUGAACCUUUGUAAUACCCCUCGUAGGAGACAAUGCUUUGCCUUAUGAUGUAUUUUGGCUUCGUCUAAUGUAAAAUCCAAAAUAUUUUGCUA